CUGGCCUCUCUCUUUUCCCUUUCUCCUCCCCCUCCCUGCCCUCCCGAUCCUUCCAAGAACGCCACCACCACCCCGCCGGACUUCUCAUCUCCCCGUCAUCUCCGCCGCCGAGCCCAUGAACCCAUCCCGCUGCCGGCGGCGGCACCCCCGGCCUCUCAACGUCCCUGGGCUUCCUCUCGCUCCCCGCGCUCUUCGUCGUCGUCGACUCCACCGUCGACACCAACAACAACCUCGGCAUCCUCUCCCACGCCGACGGCCCGCCUUACCGGCCGCGACUUCGACUACCACCGCCCCACGGGCAGCUUCUCCAACAGCCGCAUCAUCGUCGACUACCUCGCGCUCCGAAUGGGGCCCCGUUCGUGCCCCCCCUUCUUGGACAAAGAGGGGAGAACGAGGACAUAAUCUGCGGCGUGAACCAUGCGUCGGCCGCCUCGGGAAUCAUCUUCUCAAUAGGUCCGAUCUGGUGCAGCACAUUUCGCUGAAAAGCAGCAGAUCCAACAGGUUCACUGACACGUCCGUGCAGCUCGCACAGAGCCUUGGGGAGGAGGCAGUGACGGAUCUAGUCUUGAGGUCGGUAUUCUAUGUGUUCAUUAGGAGUAAUGACUUCCUUCGUUCAAUCUUGCAGUUCCUCAUAAUUUAUUCUUAUCCCAUCACCAUGCCUGCAACUUCCACUAUGUUCAGAAGAACAUCUAUGAUGAAUCAGUCACCAGCCAGUGGCGUCUCUUAAAAUCUGUUACUACCCUAUGGAUCCACGUUUGAGGUGAUACCACCUACCAGACAAAGGGAUUGCAUAGCCUUCUGAUUCCCCAAUAAUAAGAACAAAAACAGCUGGUUAUGAAAGGGUUACAUAGGUGGAUCAUUAACAAACAAGAAACUUUCAUCUCAAAAAAAAAGAGGAACAAGAUAGAUGGACCAAAAUUUUCAGUCAA